UAAUUUAUCAUAUUUAAAAAUUAAUUAAUAAUUUAUUGUUUUCUAAAAUAAUAAAUCAUUCAUCACAUUCACAUAACUUUUUUUUUCGAGUCCAAAAUGUAUAUACUUUUUUUAAAGGGUAACUUCAAAUACCCCUGGUGGUUUCACAGUUUCUCACUUUAAUAUUCUAUAGUUUAAAAUGUAUUAAGUUAGCCCAUAUGAUUUCGCACUUUCUCACUUUAAUACUCAGUAGUUUAAAGUGUAUCAAGUUAGUACCAUGUGGUUUCAUUUCUCUCUUUUUAUUAUCCAUUUCACUAAUUUUUUUCAUUAAAUCAAUGACAAAGUUAAAAUUAAAGGAUACUAAAGUAAAUAUUCGAUAAACCUAGGCAGGGUAUCUGAAGUUUUGUGUGUAUAAUUUAACGAAAUAUUAACGAAGGAAAAAAAAUCAGUGAUAAAGUUAAAACUAAAGGGUACUAAAAUAAAUAUUUGAUAAACCUAUAUAGAAUAUCUGAAGUUUUUUAUAUAUAAUUUAAUGAAAUAUUAACAGAGAAGCCGAUGAAAAUAGAAAAAUAAAAUCACAAGGUACUAAAUUGAUGCACUUUAAUCCACAUGGUACUAAAGUGAGAGAGUACGAAACCAUAGGAUACUAAAUUAUUACACUUAAACCACAGCGUACUAAAGUAAAAAGGUGUGAAACCGUGGUAUUUGGAGGUUUUUUUUAAAAAAAUGGUAAAUAAUUUACUAUUUUUGUAAA
rnacentral:lncRNA from 1 species